rnacentral:tRNA from 1 species
UAGUCCAGUAGCUCAGUUGGUUAGAGCACUUGUCUGAUAAACAAGAGGUCGGUGGUUCAAGUCCACUCUGGACUAU